rnacentral:rRNA from 1 species
UACGUAGGGUGCGAGCGUUGUCCGGAAUUAUUGGGCGUAAAGAGCUUGUAGGCGGUUUGUCGCGUCUGCUGUGAAAAUCCGGGGCUCAACCCCGGACUUGCAGUGGGUACGGGCAGACUAGAGUGUGGUAGGGGAGACUGGAAUUCCUGGUGUAGCGGUGAAAUGCGCAGAUAUCAGGAGGAACACCGAUGGCGAAGGCAGGUCUCUGGGCCACUACUGACGCUGAGAAGCGAAAGCAUGGGUAGCGAACAGGAUUAGAUA